rnacentral:rRNA from 1 species
UACGAAGGGGGCUAGCGUUGCUCGGAAUCACUGGGCGUAAAGCGCACGUAGGCGGAUUGUUAAGUCAGGGGUGAAAUCCUGGAGCUCAACUCCAGAACUGCCUUUGAUACUGGCGAUCUUGAGUUCGGGGAGAGGUGAGUGGAACUGCGAGUGUAGAGGUGAAAUUCGUAGAUAUUCGCAAGAACACCAGGUGGCGAAGGCGGCUCACUGGCCCGAUACUGACGCUGAGGUGCGAAAGCGUGGGGAGCAAACAGG